AGUCCCACCACUGUCCCCUCCGCGGUCCGCAGGCCCUCCCAGCCUGUCCCCGCCAGGCUUUGUGUCCGUCCAGUCACUACCUGGGCCGGUGGGAAGGGGAGGGGCUCGUGGACAGGACACUCCUCGGGCCUGUCACCGUCCCUCCUGCAGCUCGGCCGGAGGAGACAGCACCUGGGGAGGCGAUUCUCCUCAGAGAUCGCCUUCUUCGGCUCCAUUUUCCAGAUGAAAAACCCCGAGAAAGGAGCGGCGUCUGGGCUCAGCUUUGCUGCCUCAUGGGCAACACAGAAGGAGCCACAGCUACUUUGUCGCUGGCUUCUUUGAGAAGUUAGAUCCCCUAGGUGCAGGGGCGGGGCUGACGGAUGUCGCAGAAGCGCAGUGCGGUCCUUCUGCGGCGAGGGCUGAACUGAGACCCAGAACAAUGAGGUGGGAGGAAGGUCCAUUUCGCCUCGGCCUGCAGCCACCGCGCCAGGCCGUUCACAGACCCGCCCUGCUCGGCAGAGUCUAAUAGAUGGUCAUCCUAUCCCAUCGUGUCACCAAGGGCCAAUACCGCAUUGGAGCUCUUCACCUGUGACGAGAUGCGGCAAAUAGAAUCUGAACUCAGUGGCAUGACUGUCCUCAGAAGAAUGAACGCUACUUUUUAGGUUCCAGUGUGUAAUCUGAGGGGCCAAGCUGGCUUCUAACUGCACCCAGCUGCCAGGUGGGUUGCCUCUCUCUACCAGUUCCCUUCAUGAUGAGAAACUAAGCCACACAUGCCCUGUCCUGUCUCCCAGACACACUGAUGAGUCCAUGUUGCCUGAUGGACAAAGCUUCAGAAGCUGGACAAGAGCAACAGAAAGCAAGAGGCGUGAGCUUCAUUCUGCACAUAGUACAGUCCUGGGGCGGCUGCUAAAGGGGGUUGGGGAAGCGGGGUAACAAGCACACCCUUGUAGUUUGUCCAUCUUCUCCACCCUAACUCCUUGGGCUCUUCCAACAUGUGUGCAUCUAGCCACCUUUGAAACAGGAAGCAGGCAAGAUCUCAUCCAUUGUAGGCAACACAACACCAGGCCCAAAGGAGUAUUAAAUGAGUGGUACUGGGGUAGGACACAGGAAGUAUUGCUGGUUCUUUAUUUCCUCAUUGAGUACAAUAUUAUCACCUUGUGGCUGCUAAGCAUUCAUAAGCAUAAUUUUUCUGUUUUUGAGUGCUCUGAUGAAUAAAUAAAUACAUAAUAAAGAACUGAUUGCAGUGAUUUACUUGAUGGCACUAUCAUCAUCUGCCUCUGAUCCACCUCCACUGGGCAUCUUCCCAGGCCUAGAAUGUAGGAAGCAUGCUCACCUCAGGCCCUUUGCACUGCUCUUUCAGCUUCAUAGAACACUCCCUGGGUGUCUUCAGGGCUCCCUGUCUCUCUUCUUUCAGGUCCACAGUCACAGUCAUCUCAUAAGAGGCUGUCCUGGCUCCCCAUUAACGCUCAGUCCUGCAGGAUUCACUAGGUAUUUACUCUCUGGUGGAUUUGCUGGCUGCUUCCCCCUUAUGCACCGGAAUGUGAGUGCCCUGAGGGCACUGCCCACAUCCUAUUC